UACGUAAGGUGCAGGCGUUAAUCGGAAUUACUGGACGUAAAGCGUGCGCAGGCGGUCUGCUAAGAGAGAUGUGAAAUCCCCGGGCUUAACCUGGGAACUGCGUUUCUAACUGGCAGGCUAGAGUGUGGCAGAGGGGGUGGAAUUCCACGUGUAGCAGUGAAAUGCGUAGAGAUGUGGAGGAACACCGAUGGCGAAGGCAGCCCCCUGGGUCAAGAUUGACGCUCAUGCCACGAAAGCGUGGGGAGCAAACGAGG
rnacentral:rRNA from 1 species